rnacentral:rRNA from 1 species
UACGUAGGUGGCGAGCGUUGUCCGGAUUUACUGGGCGUAAAGGGAGCGUAGGCGGACUUUUAAGUGAGAUGUGAAAUACCCGGGCUCAACUUGGGUGCUGCAUUUCAAACUGGAAGUCUAGAGUGCAGGAGAGGAGAAUGGAAUUCCUAGUAUAGCGGUGAAAUGCGUAGAGAUUAGGAAGAACACCAGUGGCGAAGGCGAUUCUCUGGACUGUAACUGACGCUGAGGCUCGAAAGCGUGGGGAGCAAACAGGAUUAGAUACCCCUGUA